UGUCAUUAUGUAAAGUCACUUUUGGAUUAUUUCUGGAAGUGAACGACACUCGUUUGUUCUUCUCUCUCCAGUCGCAAUCACUUGCAAUUCUUUAAAAUUUUAGUGCACCAGAAAUUUGAGCAUAGAAAACGUUAGAAACAAGUUAGAAAAUGGAUCUAUUCACGGUUUUGGCUUGGAUCAUAUUUUAUUUGGUGGUUGUGACUCUGUUCUACUACUGCUUCCGCCAGAGCAUGUCGUCUGUACAGCAGUCGGCCCGUGCACGAAUCGACUCCACGCCAAGAACUACUCCAACGACAUACUCAGCAUCCGAUAACCCAAGAACGAACGAACGAAGAACGGCAAUUCGAUCCGGCGGUAACCGCAGCGUCUUCGUCAUCGAUGAUGACGACGGUCGCCGGCCAUCCGAUGCUUCAGAUUUCAUCAGAUCUCCGCCAGAGUACAAAUGGGAAGACUUGCCGCCCAGUUACGAAGAAGCCGUAGGAUCGUUCACCAAUCCAACGUUCAACGACCAGCAGCAACAGCCAUCCACCAGCACCACCAUCGUUGGUGACGAUUCAACUGUGAUUGAAGUUCCGGCAUCGGCAGCUUCAGUUAAUUGAAGAGAAAACAAUUAUUGUGUGAAUAAUAGAGUGAAAUGUUACGCAACAGCACCAGGCUGUUAUAUAAAUGUAUACUCCGGCGAUUAAUUUUAUUUUUAUAUAAAACAAACGUUUAAUGUACGUGUCUGCUUGUUUGGGGGAGACAAUUCUGUUGUGGAAAACAUGUUUGUCCAAAAUAAAUAUAAUAUAAUAAUUUUGGCUACAUAUAAGCUGUGAGAUAUAGCCUCUCUGCGUAUAUCGUCAGCUGAGACAUAAAAGCCUCGUAUCUCCUUUUUUUUUUUGGUUUCUGUUUGUAUUUAAUAUUUUCCUCCUUAUCUAUUGUGUACACCGAAAUGUUUCACCACACCACACAAUCUCAUGGCCGAGCGGCUGUGUAUAGAGUUGGAGUGCCAGAGUUAACCAGAGUCCCACCGACUUGCAACGAGCCGGGGGGGGACACGAUCUUUAGUCUUGUGUUGAACUCUUAUAUCACGUUUAGUUCCUCGAUAACUAUAAAGUCAACUUUCACGCAGCAAAGAGUGUGCUUCAAAUAUUGAUCGAGGCGCAGAUCUGACGACGAUGAAUUCGAUGGACAUUACGGUGUUGGCUAUUGUUGUCGGCGUGCUGUUGUUAGUCUUCAUCCUCUGCGGCUGCAACAACCGGAAGAAAAUCCGCAACCAAGCCACUCGGAUCUUUCCGUCCGGCCAAUCGAAUAAUCCAGCAGCAGCGCCAGCAGCUGGACGCAGUAGGCGACAUCGUCGUCGAGGUGGCCGAUCGGAGAGAGCGUCGGAAACUUAUCCUGCCGGCAGCAAUAAUGCCAACGUCUUUGUCAUAUCAAUUGACGACGCACCUCCGCCUGAAUACAAAUGGGAAGAGCUACCUCCUCCGAGUUACGAAGACGCAAUCAAGAUCGCUAGUCUCCAGCAGCAGGAUUCGGUGCUGCUGACCCAGUCUACGUAAUUGCAGCUUGUUUAUUAUAUAUUCUGUAAAUAGUUUCAUCUUGGCAAAUUGCCGAAAACAACUUAUACAUAUUGCAUAUAACCCCCGCUUCAUCGCAGAAUAUCGUUUCGUCGUUAUAAAUCCACAUGAGCUCAAUUUUGAAAAGGGAAAUGAAAUAUCAACUCAUUUUUCUCGUUUCCAAGGGAACAAACACAUUUUUUUUCCUGUGUCUUAUCGCCAGCGUGAUGUUGUCGGACGAGCCUAAAAAAAAAAUCACGGAGCGAGACUGUGAACGACUGAUAAGUCGAACUCGAAUCCGAUCGGACGUCAUUUACAUUUUUUUAUUCACGUAAAAUACCCCUUUCGUAUUCAGAAAGUUGUAAACAACGUACACAAAAUCAAAAACUCGAUCACGGUCAUUCUGAGUAUCUGAAUGCUCCCAUUUGUUUAUCAGUGGAAAUAAAAUGACGAAAAACACCAUUUUAAAUAAG
rnacentral:lncRNA from 1 species